GCCCCGGUAGCUCAGACGGAUGGAGCGACGGAUUCCUAAUCCGUAGGUCGCGGGUUCGAGUCCCGCCCGGGGCUCCA
rnacentral:tRNA from 1 species